rnacentral:tRNA from 1 species
CGGCCGCGCGGGCGAGGAAGGCGCACGCCGCGCUGUAGCCGCCGCGCGCCUGGGCGCGGGCGGCCGCCUGUUCGAGUUCGGCCGCGGUCGUC